CGGUUUGAUCCUGGCUCAGAUUGAACGCUGGCGGCAUGCCUUACACAUGCAAGUCGAACGGCAGCGCGGGAGCAAUCCUGGCGGCGAGUGGCGAACGGGUGAGUAAUACAUCGGAACGUGCCCAAUCGUGGGGGAUAACGCAGCGAAAGCUGUGCUAAUACCGCAUAAGAUCUACGGAUGAAAGCAGGGGAUCGCAAGACCUUGCGCGAAUGGAGCGGCCGAUGGCAGAUUAGGUAGUUGGUGAGGUAAAGGCUCACCAAGCCUUCGAUCUGUAGCUGGUCUGAGAGGACGACCAGCCACACUGGGACUGAGACACGGCCCAGACUCCUACGGGAGGCAGCAGUGGGGAAUUA
rnacentral:rRNA from 1 species